rnacentral:rRNA from 1 species
AUUGAACGCUGGCGGCAGGCCUAACACAUGCAAGUCGAACGAGUGGCAGACGGGUGAGUAAUGUCUGGGAAACUGCCUGAUGGAGGGGGAUCACUACUGGAAACGGUAGCUAAUCCCGCAUACCAGCAGAUGUGCCCAUAUGGGAUUAGCUAGUUGGUGGGGUAACGGCUCACCAAGGCGACGAACCCUAGCUGGUCUGAGAGGAUGACCCGCCACCAUGGAACUGAGAAACGGCCCAGACUCCUACGGGAGGAAGAAGUGGGGAAUCUUGCAGAAUGGGCGAAAGCCGGAUGCAGCCAUGCCGCGUGUGUGAAGAAGGCCUUCGGGUUGUAAAGUACUGUCAGCGGGGAGGCGUUACCCGCAGAAGAAGCACCGGCUAACUCCGUGCCAGCAGCCGCGGUAAUAC